CAGCACUAAGGAAAUCAACAGGAAGAAGGUAGCUCUCACCAGUGGCUCAAACUCCAAAGAAGGCAGCAACUGAGGUUCUGGGCAUUUGCUGGAAAGAGCAGAUUUUGGUGGCCUAAGAAUAGCUUCAGCUGUUUUACAUUCAGCAAUGUCAUCUCCAUAUCAAGUAACUGUUACCCUCCAAGAACCUUCGAAAAUUCAGUAAGAGUUAAGUAAAGCAAUGGAUUAAAAUUUU